rnacentral:rRNA from 1 species
GAUGAACGCUGGCGGCAUGCUUAACACACUCAAGUCGGACGGGCAGUGGUGUUUCCAGUGUCGGACGGGUGAGUAACGCGUAAGAACCUGCCCUUGGGAGGGGAACAACAGCUGGAAACAGCUGCUAAUACCCCGGUAGGCUGAGGAGCAAAAGGAGGAAUCCGCUUGAGGAGGGGCUCGCGUCUGAUUAGCUAGUUGGUGAGGUAAUAGCUUACCAAGGCGAUCAGUAGCUGGUCCGAGAGGAUGAUCAACCACACUGGGACUGAGACACGGCCUAG